AUCUAUUUCAGUAAUCAUUUUAAAUUUUUUUCAACUUUGUCAUUUUGAAAGUUUUGUAUAGUCGCUAUAAUAUAAAGUUUUAUUUUCUCUUAUGCAAGAAAAACUUUGAAAUUACUUAGAAUCAUCCUUUUUUCCUCAAAACAUCAGAUUGGCAAACCACCUCAUCAUAUUUGGUCAUCUCAAACUUAAAAUUACUUAUAUACUAUUUUCGUGAUGGGUAAUAAGGGAGGUUGGUGAAAAAAAUACAAAAAUUAUUGAAUAAUAUGUAAAUUUAUUUUCAAGUGAAAGAGAUAUUAUGAAUACAUUUGGUGGGUUCUGUAGGAAUAAUUAAAAUUGAAUUACUGUCAACCUAAAUAACUUCCAAUAUUAAUAUGAUAAUUCAAGAUAUACAUAUAAACUCACAUGAAAAAUGAAAUACCACUGCCUUUGCCUUCUUGAAAAAUCAGAGAUUAAAGCUCGAGUUAUAGCGGUAAAAACUGAUAAAGGGAUGCUACUAGCAUCCCUCAAAUUAGAAGGUAGAUUCACUCUAGCUUAUGAAACAGUAAACUAACCCAUGGAAGGAGUCUAACCGGCUGCGGGCGUAAUGCUGGUAACACAGAUAAAAGUCACGUGAUCCGGGUCAAGAAACGGGACGUUUGCACUGAAUUCAUAGCAAUUUCGGUUUAUUUCUUCAAUUUCAAAUAUUUAUACUAUCAUUUUGACGUACCCACUCAUUAUUUUUAUAUUGAGACAUCUCGAACUUAAUAACUUAAUAAUUCCUUGUAUUAUUUUGGAGCUGGGCAAAUGGUUUGAUGAUAAAAACGUGAAUUAAUUUAUGUUGAGUGAAUUUGUUUCCGAAUUAAAGAGAAAUUUUUAACAUUUUGUACGUUCAAGAGGAAUUAUCAAUAAAUUGAAUGUUUCUAAUGA